rnacentral:piRNA from 1 species
GGGCUGAUGUACCCAGGGAAAGUUGG